rnacentral:rRNA from 1 species
AUGCUCCAGUAUGUGGAUUUAUGGCGCAGGCUCCGGUCCAUCGAUCUUACCACGGAGCCCGACAUCAUCCGCUGGAAGUGGACGGAACAUGGCGAGUACUCUGCUGCCUCCUGCUACAAUGCUCUUUUCAUAGGUUCCACGGCGUCCGAGCACUGGCGCAUUGUUUGGAAAACCGGCGCCCCCCUCUCGGUCAAGUUCUUCACCUACCUUGCAUCCGUCAAUCGCUGCUGGACGGCGGACCGGCUCUCUCGCCGCGGGCUCCCGCAUGAACCGGCCUGUGUGUCGUGCUCGCAGCAGGCCGAGACCCUGCACCAUAUCCUUGUCGAGUGUGUUUUUGCCCGCACCAUCUGGCAGGGCAUCCUCUCCUGGUGUUGUCCCACAGCCGCGGUUCCGGAUGGCACGCUUGGGUUCUUCGACUGGCUGAGUGAGACCCUUCCUCUGAUGACUGCCGACAAGCGUCGUGGGAUCUCCACCAUUGCGGUGCUUACGGCUUGGUCUCUUUGGCGCCAUCGUAAUGUUGUGAUCUUCGACAAGAUAGCUCCCUCCUCCACCUCUCUCCUAGCGGCAAUUCAAGAGGCACGCUCCUGGAGCCAAGCACCAUUAUCCCUGUAA